rnacentral:tRNA from 1 species
AAAGCUUUAAGUUAUAAAAACUAAUAACCUUCAAAGUUAUAAAUACAUAAAAUUGUAAGCUUUA